rnacentral:lncRNA from 1 species
GGACAAUGCUAUCAGUAGAAGCUCAUGAAACUAAUUUCUUCCUCACCUUGGCCUAGCUAUAGCUCACCUCCCAUUUCCUCCAUUGAAGCUCCUAAAAAUCUCUUCCAAACAGUAUUAUUAAAAUAGCCCCAAAUUCAGCUAAAAUAUAACCAUAAAAGUUAGCUCAAAUUUUGCUACUAAACUAACCGGAAAUUGACGUCCAAACCUAGUCGAGGCAGUGAAGUUUUUGUUCGAGGUUACUGGUAUGAUUCGCUAUUUAUUUGCAAGUUUUGUCGUGGUCUUGAGCAAUCAUUGGAGUUUUGCUUUCUCCUCAAUAAAUUGAAAAGGGGAGCUGAUUUAUUAAGGUCCAUUUUCUCACUUCUAUUUCACUUAUUUUUUAUAUUCUUGUUAGUUCGGUGAAUGUUUAAACUACUG